UGACUCGUGAUUUGCUGUUCAACCCUGUGUUCUGCGGGCAUACAACCAGCACAUUUGUGGUGGCUAAGUGAGCCCUGCUUGCUUAAUGAGCCCCAGGGAUGGUGUGGGAUUGCACGAAUUCACAGGACACGGUAUAAGACACAUCUUCCAGAAGAAAUGUCAGUGAGGACAGUUGCCUAACAACACAGAGAGAAAAGAUGAAUAACAUUUCCAAUAAAUGACGGGUAUCUGUAUUGGAAGUUUUCUUUCUUUCCCUGAAAUAAAACAUGGAUAUGCUACCCCCGUGGAGCUCGUCUUUGCAGGCUGCUACAAUCAGGCUUAGAGGAAGAACACAUUGAGAGCAUGACUGCCAUUCAAAGCUUCGUUAUCUCCUUUGAUGCGAACAAAAAGGAAAGAGAAGAGUAGUUUGGUGUGUCGGUGAAGGCAAACACAAUGUGGCAAGUGGAAUCAGCUGCUGUCUCUAGAGCAAAAAGGACUGAAGCAAAAAGCCAAGUUUGAGAGGAGUGUUUCUCAACCUUGGCAGUUUUAAGAGGGUGGACUUCAACUCCCAGAAUUCCCCAGCCAGCAUGAAUAAGGUUGAGAAAAAAAAAAAGUUGAAUGCCAGAAUGUCCUCCCAUCAGCUCUACUGUCAGGAAGAUUUCAUGGGAUUCUUUGUUUACAAAGACUUUGUGGAUCUAGAGAGAUAGAAACUCUUGUCCAUGUCCAUAUAUGAUGCUCUUUCUUUGAUGCCCCAAGAUGUUCGGAUCACUCCAAACAUUUCCAAAUACAAGGGUCCUGCAAAUGAAUUUUACAUUUAUUAUUUCUUAAGGGAUGUAACCCUAUGCUCAUAUAUCAAGUGGCCAAUUAUCUUCACCAAGUUAUGCAUCUAUACAAAACUUUUAAUUAAAUAUGCUAUUUUGUUGUCCUAUUUUUUCCUUUUCCCAAUAACAAAUAAAAACUCCCUUUUUACGA